UACGGAGGGUGCGAGCGUUAUCCGGAAUUACUGGGCUUAAAGGGCGCGCAGGCGGCCUGGCUAGUCUGGGGUGAAAUCUCAUCGCUUAACGGUGAAACUGCCUUAGAUACUGCCAGUCUUGAAUCAGCGAGAGGUUCGUGGAAUUCCGAGUGUAGCAGUGAAAUGUGUAGAUAUUCGGAAGAACACCAGUGGCGAAGGCAGCGAACUGGCGCUCGAUUGACGCUCAGGCACGAAAGCAUGGGGAUCAAACAGG
rnacentral:rRNA from 1 species